AUCCAACUGACUAGUCCCAAAUAAAACGGAAUGAGCGUCCUGGAU
rfam:Schistosoma rodhaini strain Burundi genome assembly, scaffold: SROB_scaffold0006099